CACGUAGGGUGCGAGCGUUGUCCGGAAUUAUUGGGCGUAAAGAGCUCGUAGGCGGUGUGUCACGUCGGCCGUGAAAACCUGCAGCUUAACUGUGGGCGUGCGGUCGAUACGGGCAUCACUGGAGUUCGGCAGGGGAGACUGGAAUUCCUGGUGUAGCGGUGAAAUGCGCAGAUAUCAGGAGGAACACCGGUGGCGAAGGCGGGUCUCUGGGCCGAUACUGACGCUGAGGAGCGAAAGCGUGGGGGAGCAAACAGG
rnacentral:rRNA from 1 species